rnacentral:rRNA from 1 species
UACAGAGGGGGCAAGCGUUGUUCGGAAUUACUGGGCGUAAAGGGCGCGUAGGCGGCCUGCUAAGUCGAACGUGAAAUCCCCGGGCUCAACCCGGGAACUGCGUCCGAUACUGGCAGGCUUGAAUUCGGGAGAGGGAUGUGGAAUUCCAGGUGUAGCGGUGAAAUGCGUAGAUAUCGGGAGGAACACCUGUGGCGAAAGCGGCUCACUGGACCACAACUGACGCUGAUGCGCGAAAGCUAGGGGAGCAAACAGG